UUGCUAUAAUUACUAUUUAUUUAUUUAUCCUUCCUAAAAAUAAAGUGUUUGAGGAAAACGACAGUUUGUCUAACCUAAAAAGGUGACAUAACAUCCUGAAUAUUUAAUUGAAUGGUUGAAGGCCGCAAAGGAGACACUUGUUUGCUCCGACAUGAUGUUUGUUGUUUCGCAUCAGUUGUAUUCGAAAAUUUAGCGACAAAAAAAGAAGUGUUGUAUUACUAGAACGUUGGCACAUGCGACCUUGAAUUGUGGCCUUGUGGGUUUUG
rnacentral:lncRNA from 1 species